rnacentral:misc_RNA from 1 species
GGAUUCUGCAAUAAUGCAGUUGGGUCCUGUGAACUGUUGAAGGUGAAAGACGCGGCAAUGUUCCUUUACUAAUUUGUCAGUUCUUGAUUUCUUGAUUGUUUUCCGGCCAAUAGUAUGUAUAAUGGCCUGUAAAAAUUGAAUCCCACAUGCAAGUCAAAAGUCCUUGGCCUUCCUCUGUUUCUCACCAUUUUCUGUCCUCCCUCCUCUCUCCUCUCUCUUCCUCAUUUUCUCUCCUGCAAUUUUCUGAUUUCUUAUUCUCCACUCAGUAUUCCUUCCUCACCAACCUCACCCAAUUCUCUUUGUUUUACCUCUCUCUAUCUCAAAGCUUUCACUUUUCAUCAUAUUCAACAUCUACUGUUACUGCUCCUUAGAUUCUCUCUCUCUAUCUCUCCAUCUCUCUGCGUCGCUAUGCAUAUGCUGGUGGACUGUUCAAACUGCCGCACGCCGUUGCAGCUCCCGCCGGGCGCUAAAUCCAUUCGCUGUGCCAUCUGCCACGCCAUCACUCUCAUCGCGGAUCCUCGCUCUGUUCCACCACCCCCACCUUACUCUUCGUCUGCCCACCA